rnacentral:rRNA from 1 species
UACGAAGGGUGCAAGCGUUACUCGGAAUUACUGGGCGUAAAGCGGGCGUAGGUGGUUUGUUAAGUCUGUUGUGAAAGCCCCGGGCUCAACCUGGGAAUGGCAAUGGAUACUGGCAAGCUAGAGUGCGGUAGAGGGUAGUGGAAUUCCCGGUGUAGCGGUGAAAUGCGUAGAGAUCGGGAGGAACACCAGUGGCGAAGGCGGCUACCUGGACCAGCACUGACACUGAGGCACGAAAGCGUGGGGAGCAAACAGG